rnacentral:lncRNA from 1 species
UUUAGAUUCGUGAUUGGUUGCUGAAGCUUGAACAUUCCAUUAUUUAUUCAUUAUCAAUCAUAACCUGAUACUUCAUGAACAUAUAUAGACUGUAAGUGUAAGACUUUGUUCUUUUGUACACGUAUUUGAACUACUAUAACUGUCAUGUUAUGCACCCAUACUAGAGCCAGGUACUAAAAUUGUUCAUCCUGAUUUUGCAUUUGACUUUACGAACUACUUUACUUACCCUGCAUACUAGGUUUUAAUAUUAGUACCAAUGAAUUACCCGGUUUUAGUGUGUGCCGAACCUUUCUCUGGUUUUAUUAUACAUAACAUGAUUUUUAGACGAAUGCAUUUCUACCGUACAACAUUGGUGUUUAUGAUGAGUUUAUUUACAACCACUGGGUCGGUGCCACUGCUUUGGAUGUUUCCUCUCCAAAGGUUACACGAGGCCAUUACUCAGCACUUCGGUUUGACAAUAAUUAUCCGGCGCUGAUGAGUCUACUUAAGGCAUAACGCUGGUUUGACGUUCUAAAUUUCGCUCCUGGGUAUAUAUGAUGAGUUUAUUUAUAAGCUAAAUACAAUUAUUAAAAUGUAACCUUGAACUUCAAAUAUAUUUUUACACCAGACUGGUUCUUUAUGAAUUUUUUUGUCAUGUAUUUCAGAUAUUUUGAAAUGAUGAAAUGGGAACAGAAUGAAAAAUCAGACGAAAAAUGAAAAAUAAUCUACAAGAGAAAAGAAGAUGAAUUGUGUGGAUAUGAUUCCAAUCUAGUAUUUAAAAAAAGGACUUCUCUUGUUGUAAAGGAGGAACUGAAAAGUAUCACACAUGCGUAAUCCUUGACUUAUUAUUUUUAUUAAGUCUUCAAAACAUUAGAUUAAAGCGUACCGGACAGGACAUUGUCAUUUGAAGCAAAUUAAUCGUUUCUUCUUCAUGACCUUUUUUUGAGACACAAAACACGAUUUAUACAAAUUAUCUACAUCAAGGUUUUUAUACGACAGCAAAAAGUCGUAUAAUACUAUCAUGUCGUCAUCGUCAUCAUCGUCCGAAGACACAUUCUGUUUCCAGACAAUAACUUUAGAUUUAGUGAAUGGAUCUUCAUAAAAUUUUACCAAAAGGUUCAUUACUACUAAAGGAAGGUUGGGAUUGAUUUUGUGGGUUAUGGUCCCAAUAGCUUUGGAAUUAGGGGCCAAAAAGGGGUCCCAAUAUAAGCAUGUUUGUAGUUUUCAAACAAUAACUUGUGUUUAAGUGUAUGAAUCUCUCUGAAAUUAUACCACAAGUUUCCAUACCAUGAAGGAUUAGUUACUAUUGAUUUUUGGGGGUUAUGGUCCCAAUAGUUUAGGAAUUAGGGGCCAAAAAGGGGGCCCAAAAUAAGCAUUUUUGUAGUUUUCAAACAAAAACUUGUGUUUAAGUGUACGAAUCUCUCUGAAAUUAUACCACAAGUUUCCAUACAAUGAAGGGAUAUUUAGUACUGACUUUGGGGGGUUAUGGCUCAAAAAGUUUUGGAAUUAGGGGCAAAAAAGGGGGAAACUAGGCUUUUCUGACAAUUUAAAAGCAGUGUAAGGGAAGUAAUUCAAAAACAUUUAACAUACAAUGUUGGGUAUGUUCGUAUUUACCACCCUUACACUACCUGUAAAUAAUGUAUAAAGAAUAUCAGGUUGUUUUUUUUUUUAGCUAAACAGCGAAUACCUGAAUUGUUAUAGAUAUAUUUGUGCAAUAUUUGAAUAAAUUCAAUUGUAUGGAAUUUGAAUAAUCGUAUAUGUGCAGUAUAUUGGCACAUUGGUCACAUUUAUUUUUAUGCCCCAGCUACGAUAGUAGAGGGGCAUUAUCUUUUCUGGUCUAUGUGUCCGUUCAGGUCAUCUGCAUGUUGAGAUUGUAAAAUAUCAGCAGCAAGUCACAAUAUGAAACUUUUUGUCGAAUGAGAAUAAGGUCAGCCGAACUCUGUCAUACAUACAUGUUACCUUACAAUAAUUCCAGGCAUCAAACUAUGAUGCAGUUGACCUAUUGCAUAUCGUAAAAAUAAGGUCAAUGUCAGAUGAUUCCUGCCAGACAGAUAUAUACAACUUUCAGUUUUAAAAAAAUUAGUUUCAUGUCUUCUAAUUUUGUAUAGUUGCUAAUCCAUCAAAUUAUCCCGUAAAGCCUUCUGGUAAAUGUACCAAGCUUGAAUUAAACUUGUCAAAACAUUUAUUUUUAUGCCCCACCUACUAUAUUAGAGGGGCAUUAUGGUUUCUGGUCUGUGCGUCCGUCCGUCUGUUUGUUCGUUCGUUCAUUCGUCGGUUCGUCCGUCCGUCCGUCCGUCCGUCCCGCUUCAGGUUAAAGUUUUUGGUCAAGGUAGUUUUUGAUGAAGUUGAAGUCCAAUCAACUUGAAACUUAGUUCACAUGUUCCCCAUGAGAUGAUCUUUCUAAUUAUAAUGUCAAAUUAAAUUUUGACUCCAAUUUCACGGUCCA